rnacentral:rRNA from 1 species
GUUUCCGYAGGUGAACCUGCGGAAGGAUCAUUG